rnacentral:rRNA from 1 species
UACGUAGGGGGCAAGCGUUGUCCGGAAUCAUUGGGCGUAAAGCGCGCGUAGGCGGCCCCGUAAGUCCGCUGUGAAAGUCAAAGGCUCAACCUUUGAAAGCCGGUGGAUACUGUGGGGCUAGGGUCCGGAAGAGGCGAGUGGAAUUCCUGGUGUAGCGGUGGAAUGCGCAGAUAUCAGGAGGAACACCAAUAGCGAAGGCAGCUCGCUGGGACGGUACUGACGCUAAGGCGCGAAAGCGUGGGGAGCGAACAGG